UACGAAAGGGGCAAGCGUUGUUCGGAAUUACUGGGCGUAAAGGAUGCGUAGGCGGAUGUUUAAGUGAGAUGUGAAAUACCCGAGCUCAACUUGGGUGCUGCAUUUCAAACUGGAUAUCUAGAGUGCAGGAGAGGAAAGCGGAAUUCCUAGUGUAGCGGUGAAAUGCGUAGAGAUUAGGAAGAACACCAGUGGCGAAGGCGGCUUUCUGGACUGUAACUGACGCUGAGGCAUGAAAGCGUGGGGAGCAAACAGG
rnacentral:rRNA from 1 species